AUAGGAGGUCCUACCUGCCCAGUGACAAGUUAAACGGCCGCGGUAUUUUGACCGUGCGAAGGUAGCGCAAUCACUUGUCUUUUAAAUGAAGACCUGUAUGAAUGGUGGAACGAGGGCUUAACUGUCUCCCUUCUCCAGUCAAUGAAAUUGAUCUGCCCGUGCAGAAGCGGACAUAUUAAUACAAGACGAGAAGACCCUUUGGAGCUUAAGAUAAAAGACCAACUAUGUCAAGAAGCUAAAAAAUAUAGCUUAAACUAAAUAGCGACUUGAUCCUUAUCUUCAGUUGGGGCGACUGCGGAAGAAAACAAAGCUUCCACGAGGAUUGGGACUAAUAUCCUAAAGCCAAGAAAGACACUUCUAAGCCACAGAACAUCUGACCAUCUAAGAUCCGGCCACCAGCCGAUCAGCGGACCAAGUUACCCUAGGGAUAACAGCGCAAUCCCCUUUCAGAGUUCAUAUCGACAAGGGGGUUUACGACCUCGAUGUUGGAUCAGGACAUCCUAAUGGUGCAGCCGCUAUUAAGGGUUCGUUUGUUCAACGAUUAAAGUCC
rnacentral:rRNA from 1 species